rnacentral:rRNA from 1 species
GAUGAACGCUGGCGGCGUGCCUAAUACAUGCAAGUCGAGCGAACAGAUAAGGAGCUUGCUCCUUUGACGUUAGCGGCGGACGGGUGAGUAACACGUGGGUAACCUACCUAUAAGACUGGAAUAACUCCGGGAAACCGGGGCUAAUGCCGGAUAACAUUUAGAACCGCAUGGUUCUAAAGUGAAAGAUGGUUUUGCUAUCACUUAUAGAUGGACCCGCGCCGUAUUAGCUAGUUGGUAAGGUAACGGCUUACCAAGGCAACGAUACGUAGCCGACCUGAGAGGGUGAUCGGCCACACUGGAACUGAGACACGGUCCAGACUCCUACGGGAAGCAGCAGUAGGGAAUCUUCCGCAAUGGGCGAAAGCCUGACGGAGCAACGCCGCGUGAGUGAUGAAGGUCUUCGGAUCGUAAAACUCUGUUAUUAGGGAAGAACAAAUGUGUAAGUAACUGUGCACGUCUUGACGGUACCUAAUCAGAAAGCCACGGCUAACUACGUG